CCCAGACACAUAGGGAAGAAGGCCACCUGACGUGGGGACUGGGAUUGGUGUUAUGCUGCCACAGACCAAGGAGCGCUAAGGAUUCCUGGCAACCACCAGAAGCUAGAAGAGGCAAGGAAAUAUUCUUCCUGGGAGACUUCGGCACGAACGUGGUGCUGCCAAAAUCUUGAUUUUGGACUCUGGCUUCCAGACUGUGAGAGAAUCAAUUUCUGUUAUUUCAAACCACCCAAUUUGUGGUAAUUUUGUUACUGCAGCCCUGAUGAGCAGAGUGUCUCAGUGACAGGGUGAAGGGGCACGAUGAAAUAGACUCCCAGCCUCUCUCUACGCUCCCUUGGACCUGACAGCUUCACAUCAGAAGGCGCUUCCCCGGUCUGGCUGCCUCCUCUCUCCUGCCUCCUGUUACCCAAAUAACAUAAUCACAAAAUUGAAAGAUUGGAGGAGAGGUCGAUAAGUCAGCUCAUCCAGCUCUCAGACUGGGCUUGGAGGCUGGAAGUUGGAAAUCCAGCAGGGCUGUGCUCCCUCUGGAAACUCCAGGGAACAAGCGAUCCUUCGCCUCUUCUAGUUUCUGGUGACCGUCAGCAUUCCUUGACUUGUGGCCACAACACUCCAGUCUUUGUCUCCAUGGUCACGUUGCCCCCUCCUCCUCUGUCUGCGUUAUCUCCCUAUGCAUCACUCUUAUAAGGACACUUAUCACCACACUUAGGGCCUCCCUGGAGAAUCCAGGAAGACUUCCUCAUCUCAAAAUCCUCAACUUCAUUGCAUCUGCAAAGACUCUAUCCAAAUAAAGUUACAUUCACAGUGUCUCGAGAUUAGAGUAUGGACAUAUCUUUGUGGAGGGCCACUGUUCAGUCCACUACACACCUAAUAUUUAUUGUUCUCUGUAUGUUGCUUAAGUCAGUCUUGCUAGCGGCUACAAAGAUUUUUAAAUUAACAUUCUGUCCUAAUCCUUCGUAAAUCAUAACUCCUUUGGGAAGAGCUGCCAAAGACAAGACUGGAUUA
rnacentral:lncRNA from 1 species